AUUGAACGCUGGCGGCAUGCUUUACACAUGCAAGUCGAACGGUAACAGGCCUUCGGGUGCUGACGAGUGGCGAACGGGUGAGUAAUGCAUCGGAACGUACCCAGAGGUGGGGGAUAACGCAGCGAAAGCUGUGCUAAUACCGCAUGUGAUCUGAGGAUGAAAGCGGGGGACCGAGCAGCAAUGUUUGGCCUCGCGCCUUUGGAGCGGCCGAUGUCGGAUUAGCUAGUUGGUGGGGUAAAGGCCUACCAAGGCGACGAUCCGUAGCUGGUCUGAGAGGACGACCAGCCACAAUGGGAAUGGGACACGGCCCAGACUCCUACGGGAGGCAGGAGUGGGGAAAUUUGGACAAUUGGCGGAAGGCUGAUCCAGCAAUGGCGCGUGCGGGAAGAAGGCCUUCGGGUUGUAAACCGGUUUUGGCAGGAACGAAACGGUGGCCGCUAAUACCGGGCGCUAAAGACGGGACCUUCAAGAUAAGCACCGGCUAACUACGUG
rnacentral:rRNA from 1 species